rnacentral:rRNA from 1 species
UACGGGGGGGGCAAGCGUUGUUCGGAAUUACUGGGCGUAAAGGGCUCGUAGGUGGCCAACUAAGUCAGACGUGAAAUCCCUCGGCUUAACCGGGGAACUGCGUCUGAUACUGGAUGGCUUGAGUUUGGGAGAGGGACGCGGAAUUCCAGGUGUAGCGGUGAAAUGCGUAGAUAUCUGGAGGAACACCGGUGGCGAAGGCGGGAUCCUGGGCCAGUACUGACGCUGAGGAGCGAAAGCGUGGGGAGCAAACAGG